GCCCGGGUGACGAAAUUGGUAGACGUAACGGACUUAAAAUCCGUGGGCGGAAACGCCAUGCCGGUUCGAGUCCGGCCCCGGGCACCA
rnacentral:tRNA from 1 species